rnacentral:rRNA from 1 species
GGGGAAUAUUGCACAAUGGGCGAAAGCCUGAUGCAGCGACGCCGCGUGCGGGAUGAAGGCCUUCGGGUUGUAAACCGCUUUUAAUUGGGAGCAAGCGAGAGUGAGUGUACCUUUUGAAUAAGCACCGGCUAACUACGUGCCAGCAGCCGCGGUAAUACGUAGGGUGCAAGCGUUAUCCGGAAUUAUUGGGCGUAAAGAGCUCGUAGGCGGUUUGUCACGCCUGGUGUGAAAGUCCAUCGCUUAACGGUGGAUCUGCGCCGGGUACGGGCAGGCUAGAGUGCAGUAGGGGAGAUUGGAAUUCCCGGUGUAACGGUGGAAUGUGUAGAUAUCGGGAAGAACACCAAUGGCGAAGGCAGAUCUCUGGGCUGUUACUGACGCUGAGGAGCGAAAGCAUGGGGAGCGAACAGGAUUAGAUACCCGUGGUAGUCCAUGCCGUAAACGGUGGAUGCUGGAUGUGGGACCCUUCCACGGGUUCCGUGUCGGAGCUAACGCGUUAAGCAUCCCCGCCUGGG